rnacentral:rRNA from 1 species
AAAGAUUAAGCCAUGCAUGUCUAAGUAUACGCAAAUUAUACUGUGAAACUGCGAAUGGCUCAUUAAAUCAGUUAUAGUUUAUUUGAUGUUUCUUGCUACAUGGAUAACUGUGGUAAUUCUAGAGCUAAUACAUGCGUAAAAAGCCCCGACUUCUGGAAGGGGUGUAUUUAUUAGAUAAAAACCAUCCUCCUCGGAGUUUGGUGAUUCAUAAUAACUUCUCGAAUCGCACUGCCUUGUGCUGGCGAUGCUUCAUUCAAAUAUCUGCCCUAUCAACUGUCGAUGGUAGUGAUUCAGAGGCCUACCAUGGUUG